AGUAGCUCUUAACGGUCCCCCGCCCGUUGGUGGCAAGGCGGCUGGACUGGAAUCCCAGCAGGCGACAUGCGAGGAGGCGGGCAGCCCAGGAGGGUUGGACACGGCAAUGUGGACCUCGCCGCUUCCACAACGAUGCUGGCUACUGAUCGCGUGCACUUCCUUGCCAAAGAAAAGAAAUUAAUGUUAUGACUGGAUGAAGACAAUUGUGAAGAAACUGCACUUUGAGGUUGUCUAUCUCUGUAUUCUGAUGGAAAAGCGUGGAGUUUAGAAGCACUGCUCACUCCUUCAGUUUCUAACAAGUCAGUAUUCUCAUAGCAAUUUAAAUUUAAAUGUUCAAAUUACCUCUCCUUCCCUGGUUCAGAAUAAGUAUGUUGUUUUUCUGUUUGUAAAAUUUCUGACUCUGGGUUUUUUCAGUUGGGCUUUAGAGAGGAUAACUCCCAUAUCGCUGUUGUAUCUAUUUCUCUUCAGCAUCUGGCUGCAUGUGAUAAAGAUCAUAGAAUUAGA
rnacentral:lncRNA from 1 species